UUCCGAGAAAAGUCGGGAACUGCCGUGAAGCCUUCUAGUCGCUGAGGGUGAUGCCUCUGACCGUGAUCCUUCCGCAAGUGAAACUUAUCGAAGCCUUUGCAGCCUCGCAAGAGGUAGCCCAGCGACAGUAAAUAAUUUGGGACUCAUGCAAGUCACCGACCCUGCUCGGGGCGACACGAUCGAAUUGACGGGGACACCCUAAAGCCUGCAACACGAACCAUCCAUGGAAACAUAGGGUGGGGCCCAUGCUAACCACAUGGGAGGUCGUAAGAGAGUGCAGCGAUGAACCCGGCGCCCGCCGGGGGAAAUGGGCAAUCCGCAGCGAAGACCCUACGGUGCUCUGCAUACGGGUAACGUUCACAGACUAGGUGGUUGUGGGUGGCAUCGCGGUGCUGCUUAAGAUAUAGUCGGGCUCCACGGGAAACCGUGGGGAUGAUUCACUUGCGAGUCGCGUGUCGGCUCGAGAAUGGAACCGUUCCGUAGGUGAACCUGCGGAAGGAUCAUUA
rnacentral:rRNA from 1 species